AACGAACGCUGGCGGCAUGCCUAACACAUGCAAGUCGAACGAGACCUUCGGGUCUAGUGGCGCACGGGUGCGUAACGCGUGGGAACCUGCCCUUAGGUUCGGAAUAACUCCCCGAAAGGGGUGCUAAUACCGGAUCAUGUCUUCGGACCAAAGAUUUAUCGCCUUUGGAUGGGCCCGCGUUGGAUUAGCUAGUUGGUAGGGUAAAAGCCUACCAAGGCGACGAUCCAUAGCUGGUAUGAGAGGAUGAUCAGCAACACUGGGACUGGGACCCGGCCAAGACAUCUACGGGAGGCAGCAGUGGGGAAUAUGGGACAAUGCGCGAAUGCCUAAGCCAUCAUGACGCGUGAGUGAUGAAGGCCUUAGGGUUGUAAAGCUCUUUUACCCGGGAUGAUAAUGACAGUACCGGGAGAAUAAGCUCCGGCUAACUCCGUG
rnacentral:rRNA from 1 species